rnacentral:RNase_P_RNA from 1 species
CAGGAGCGACAGGUAGUUGCUGGCAGUGUGAUCACUGCGAGAGGAAAGUCCGGGCUGCACGCAAGGCAGGACUCCAUCUAACGGAUGGCCAGAGUAAUCUGAGGGCAAGUGCAACAGAGAGCAGACCGCCGGGUAGGGGUCUGACCUCAAAUGAUUUGUCGCGAAGCGAUUGAUCGUUUGCGGGUCUGACUCCCUUGCCCGGUAAGGGUGAAAGGGUGAGGUAAGAGCUCACCGGUGAGGGUGGUAACAUCCUCAGCCAGGUAAACCCUGUCCGCAGCAAGAAGUAUAUGGUAUAAGCCUUGUAAGCCGUUUGAUCGGCAUUUAUACUUCGCUUGAGCCUGUUGGCAACAUCAGGCCUAGAUAAAUAACUACCCAACGACAGAACCCGGCUUAUCGUCGCUCCUGUUUA